UACGUAGGGUGCAAGCGUUGUCCGGAAUUAUUGGGCGUAAAGAGCUCGUAGGCGGUCUGUCGCGUCGAAUGUGAAAACCCGGGGCUCAACUCCGGGCUUGCAUUCGAUACGGGCAGGCUAGAGUUCGGUAGGGGAGUCUGGAAUUCCUGGUGUAGCGGUGAAAUGCGCAGAUAUCAGGAGGAACACCGGUGGCGAAGGCGGGACUCGUGG
rnacentral:rRNA from 1 species